CCUGAUCCAGCCAUGCCGCGUGUGUGAAGAAGGCCUUAUGGUUGUAAAGCACUUUAAGCGAGGAGGAGGCUACUUUAGUUAAUACCUAGAGAUAGUGGACGUUACUCGCAGAAUAAGCACCGGCUAACUCUGUGCCAGCAGCCGCGGUAAUACAGAGGGUGCGAGCGUUAAUCGGAUUUACUGGGCGUAAAGCGUGCGUAGGCGGCUUAUUAAGUCGGAUGUGAAAUCCCCGAGCUUAACUUGGGAAUUGCAUUCGAUACUGGUGAGCUAGAGUAUGGGAGAGGAUGGUAGAAUUCCAGGUGUAGCGGUGAAAUGCGUAGAGAUCUGGAGGAAUACCGAUGGCGAAGGCAGCCAUCUGGCCUAAUACUGACGCUGAGGUACGAAAGCAUGGGGAGCAAACAGGAUUAGAUACCCUGGUAGUCCAUGCCGUAAACGAUGUCUACUAGCCGUUGGGGCCUUUGAGGCUUUAGUGGCGCAGCUAACGCGAUAAGUAGACCGCCUGGGGAGUACGGUCGCAAGACUAAAACUCAAAUGAAUUGACGGGGGCCCGCACAAGCGGUGGAGCAUGUGGUUUAAUUCGAUGCAACGCGAAGAACCUUACCUGGCCUUGACAUACUAGAAACUUUCCAGAGAUGGAUUGGUGCCUUCGGGAAUCUAGAUACAGGUGCUGCAUGGCUGUCGUCAGCUCGUGUCGUGAGAUGUUGGGUUAAGUCCCGCAACGAGCGCAACCCUUUUCCUUACUUGCCAGCAUUUCGGAUGGGAACUUUA
rnacentral:rRNA from 1 species